UUCAGAGGUUACGCAUCUCCAUAGUUUCUAACGUAUUAAGCUGCAAGUAGAUGGAUGGAUAAAUGGAAAACGUAAUGCAGUAUAAAUUCACAACACUGAGCCCUAGAAUGCAGUUUAAAGUAUAAAAACAUACCGGUAAAAUUCUGAUGCCGGAACUGAUGCACUAGUUUGCUAUUUUACACAUAUUUCGUAGCCAUAUGGCCCUGCAAUUUUAAGCUGUACUUCCCUUGUAUUACACCACACAGUUUUAAUCUCAUUUGGUUUAGUAUUCACUCACUUUUCGUAAUAAAUUCACUUUGUUUGGAGACCCUGCGUGGGUUAGAUGUGUUCUGUCACUUCUGACAGUUUGACGUUUAUAAACUGGUUGGGGAAGAUUUGAGUCACAUAAAUACCCGUUCAAUGAAAGUUUUUUUUUUCUUGUCGGAGAAAAUCUGAUUUCAUUUUCAUUAAGAUAAAUUAACAUUAUAACAUGUAAAGUAAUUCUAGGAUAUUGGUUUGCAAUAAAAUUUAGCUAAUAGUUUGGUUUUGUUUUUCUUCUGCGGCGUUAGUCGUGUUCUCAUUUGUCUAUGAUAUGGUCAUUAGCAAAGGUGACUAUUUGCAUUACGGGGUUGAAGAUUCGUUUAAUGUAAGUUAAUUUCUUCUUUCCAUACAAAAAUACUUAGAAUUUUAAAAUGAGGGGUAUGUUGUUAUUUGUCUUAAUUUUUGGUGAAAGUUUUCACAAUCUAAUAUUUCCUUUUCUUUGGUUGGAUACGUGGCUAAGGUCUCGGGCCACCAUUAAAAUAUUGUGAUUGCCUGAAGUGAAUCGCAGUUGGAAGGAUGUGAAAUAAUAAAUUGAUAAUAUCCCAGGCAAUCCAUUCAUUCCGGGCCGAGCCCGUUAAACUCGAUUUUAACCUAAAAAUGUGAGCCGUCCUUACAAAGAAAAGUAAACAGCCAGUUUUAUUUCGGUGAGUUUUGGUAAUAAAAAGUGUUGCUCGGAGGUUAUUCCUUCAUGUUCUUUGUCCAGAACACCGUUUCUUAUUAUUUUGUAUUACCUUUCCAGCCUUCAAUCUCUUCCCAUCGCUGCCACGUGAGAACGUGACGGUGACAUCCAGAGGAAAAUAAGGAAAACACCCAGCCUUUCUGGUAAGUGGUUUUAUCUCUGUUACACCAAAAACCCCUAAAAGCAACCCCGCGAUUAAAAAUAUAGAAUUAAUUAAAACAACAAGUUACCGAUUUCCAAAAUUAUCUCACCUGGUUAUUUUGUUUGUCCACCAGGGUGUUUUUAUCCGGGUAUAUGUUCCACAUACUAUCCUGCUACUAUCCUGGUAUUAUGUCCUGAACUGGAGUUAGCAGUUUGCUGCCAAAACUACUCGUGAGAGAAACCGCCCAAGUUUGUGAAACGGAUUAAUACCUAGGAUAUUUUACAUUUAUAACAUAGCAUUUUUAAUUAAGGAUAUCCAUCCAGGAAUAAGACCAAUAUAAUUUUGUGGAGCGAUAUAAAUAUAUAUAUUUCCUGUAAUAAAACUUAAAUUAAAUACUUCCACCUCCGUUAGACUGUACGGUGGUGAUAGAAAAUAAGAACUUAGUGAAGGUUGUUCUUACAAUAAAUUAAUUAAAUUAGU